GACGAACGCUGGCGGCGUGCCUAAUACAUGCAAGUUGAGCGCUGAAGGUUGGUACUUGUACCUACUGUAUGAGCAUCGAACGGGUGAGUAACGCGUGGGGAAUCUGCCUUUGAGCGGGGGACAACAUUUGGAAACGAAUGCUAAUACCGCAUAAAAACUUUAAACACAAGUUUUAAGUUUGAAAGAUGCUAUUGCAUCACUCAAAGAUGAUCCCGCGUUGUAUUAGCUAGUUGGUGAGGUAAAGGCUCACCAAGGCGAUGAUACAUAGCCGACCUGAGAGGGUGAUAGGCCACAUUGGGACUGAGACACGGCCCAAAAUCCUACGGGAAGCAGCAGUAGGGAAUCUUCGGCAAUGGACGAAAGUCUGAACGAGCAACGCCGCGGGAGUGAAGAAGGUUGUCGGAUCGUAAAACUCUGUUGGUAGAGAAGAACGUUGGGGAGAGUGGAAAGCUCAUAAAGUGACGGUAACUACCCAGAAAGGGACGGCUAACUACGUG
rnacentral:rRNA from 1 species